rnacentral:rRNA from 1 species
CAGCAGCCACGGGAAAACCAGCACCUCGAGUGGUCAGGAGGUUUAUUGGGCCUAAAGCAUCCGUAGCCGGUUGCAUAAGUUUUCGGUUAAAUCUAUGCGCUUAACGUAUAGGCCGCCGAAAAUACUGUGCAGCUAGGGAGUGGGAGAGGUACACGGUACUCGAUAGGAAGGGGUAAAAUCCUUUGAUCUAUUGAUGACCACCUGUGGCGAAGGCGGUGUACCAGAACACGUUCGACGGUGAGGGAUGAAAGCUGGGGGAGCAAACCGGAUUAGAUACCCCUGUAGUCCCUGUCUCUUAUAC